rnacentral:misc_RNA from 1 species
UCCGAGUUGACCCCGGCAGUCUCCUAUGAGUCCCCACCAUGCCCGAAGGCACGUGCUGGCAACAUAGGACGAGGGUUGCGCUCGUUGCGGGACUUAACCCAACAUCUCACGACACGAGCUGACGACAGCCAUGCACCACCUGUACACCGACAAAAAGGGCGCCUAUCUCUAGACGUUUCCCAUGAUGUCAAACCCAGGUAAGGUUCUUCGGGUCGCAUCGAAUUAAGCCGCAUGCUCCGCCGCUUGUGCGGGGACCCGUCAAUUCCUUUGAGUUUUAGCCUUGCGGCCGUACUCCCCAGGCGGGGUGCUUAAUGCGUUAGCUUCGGCACGGACGGAGUCGACACCGCCCACACCUAGCACCCAUCGUUUACGGCGUGGACUAC